UGCAACAAGCGCUUCGCAUCCACCCGCGCCAAGUGUUUCGCCCUGGAGACGGGAAGCAGCUGCUGCUUUUUCCUGCAUAGUCUUUUCCUGUCCAUCUCCCUCAUUCUUUGGGAAAGAACGCUGCAGAGACUACUCUCAGUCGGUACUUGUCAAGAUGUUGGGCUUGCAACAAUCAAUAGCAGGAUAACACCAGGUAUGUGUGAGACA
rnacentral:lncRNA from 1 species